rnacentral:rRNA from 1 species
GUGGGGAAUAUUGGACAAUGGGCGAAAGCCUGAUCCAGCCAUGCCGCGUGUGUGAAGAAGGUCUUCGGAUUGUAAAGCACUUUAAGUUGGGAGGAAGGGCAGUAAGUUAAUACCUUGCUGUUUUGACGUUACCGACAGAAUAAGCACCGGCUAACUCUGUGCCAGCAGCAGCGGUAAUACAGAGGGUGCAAGCGUUAAUCGGAUUUACUGGGCGUAAAGCGCGCGUAGGUGGCCAAUUAAGUCAAAUGUGAAAUCCCCGGGCUCAACCUGGGAACUGCCUCACAAACUGCAUGACUAGAGUACGGUAGAGGGUAGUGGAAUUUCCUGUGUAGCGGUGAAAUGCGUAGAUAUAGGAAGGAACACCAGUGGCGAAGGCGACUACCUGGACUGAUACUGACACUGAGGUGCGAAAGCGUGGGGAGCAAACAGGAUUAGAUACCCUUGUAGUCC